UAGUUUGAUCCUGGCUCAGGACGAACGCUGGCGGCGUGCCUAAUACAUGCAAGUCGAGCGGACAGAUGGGAGCUUGCUCCCUGAUGUUAGCGGCGGACGGGUGAGUAACACGUGGGUAACCUGCCUGUAAGACUGGGAUAACUCCGGGAAACCGGGGCUAAUACCGGAUGGUUGUUUGAACCGCAUGGUUCAGACAUAAAAGGUGGCUUCGGCUAUCACUUACAGAUGGACCCGCGGCGCAUUAGCUAGUUGGUGAGGUAACGGCUCACCAAGGCGACGAUGCGUAGCCGACCUGAGAGGGUGAUCGGCCACACUGGGACUGAGACACGGCCCAGACUCCUACGGGAGGCAGCAGUAGGGAAUCUUCCGCAAUGGACGAAAGUCUGACGGAGCAACGCCGCGUGAGUGAUGAAGGUUUUCGGAUCGUAAAGCUCUGUUGUUAGGGAAGAACAAGUGCCGUUCAAAUAGGGCGGCACCUUGACGGUACCUAACCAGAAAGCCACGGCUAACUACGUGCCAGCAGCCGCGGUAAUACGUAGAUGGCAAGCGUUGUCCGGAAUUAUUGGGCGUAAAGGGCUCGCAGGCGGUUUCUUAAGUCUGAUGUGAAAGCCCCCGGCUCAACCGGGGAGGGUCAUUGGAAACUGGGGAACUUGAGUGCAGAAGAGGAGAGUGGAAUUCCACGUGUAGCGGUGAAAUGCGUAGAGAUGUGGAGGAACACCAGUGGCGAAGGCGACUCUCUGGUCUGUAACUGACGCUGAGGAGCGAAAGCGUGGGGAGCGAACAGGAUUAGAUACCCUGGUAGUCCACGCCGUAAACGAUGAGUGCUAAGUGUUAGGGGGUUUCCGCCCCUUAGUGCUGCAGCUAACGCAUUAAGCACUC
rnacentral:rRNA from 1 species